AGUCAACGCUGGCGGUAGGCCUAACACAUGCAAGUCGAACGGCAGCACAGUAAGAGCUUGCUCUUACGGGUGGCGAGUGGCGGACGGGUGAGGAAUACAUCGGAAUCUGCUUUUUCGUGGGGGAUAACGUAGGGAAACUUACGCUAAUACCGCAUACGACCUACGGGUGAAAGCAGGGGAUCUUCGGACCUUGCGCGAUUGAAUGAGCCGAUGUCGGAUUAGCUAGUUGGCGGGGUAAAGGCCCACCAAGGCGACGAUCCGUAGCUGGUCUGAGAGGAUGAUCAGCCACACUGGAACUGAGACACGGUCCAGACUCCUACGGGAGGCAGCAGUGGGGAAUAUUGGACAAUGGGCGCAAGCCUGAUCCAGCCAUACCGCGUGGGUGAAGAAGGCCUUCGGGUUGUAAAGCCCUUUUGUUGGGAAAGAAAAGCAGCAGGUUAAUACCCCGCUGUUCUGACGGUACCCAAAGAAUAAGCACCGGCUAACUUCGUG
rnacentral:rRNA from 1 species